UACGAAGGGGGCUAGCGUUGUUCGGAAUCACUGGGCGUAAAGGGCGCGUAGGCGGCCGCUCAAGUCGGGGGUGAAAGCCUGUGGCUUAACCACAGAAUUGCCUUCGAUACUGUUUGGCUUGAGACCGGAAGAGGUGAGUGGAACUGCGAGUGUAGAGGUGAAAUUCGUAGAUAUUCGCAAGAACACCAGUGGCGAAGGCGGACUCACUGGUCCGGUUCUGACGCUGAGACGCGAAAGCGUGGGGAGCAAACAGG
rnacentral:rRNA from 1 species